UUGUUUAAAGGGAAAAGUACAAUGCACUUAACUCACUGAAUGCUUAAGCUAUAUAUCCUGCAUUGCACCAUAUCACUUCCUCUCUGCUAACCCCCUAGGCACUUCCUAGAUCCCAAUAAGUUUGCUCAGAAGCCUCACACACUUGUUUCUCGAAGAACAUGCACACAAAGCAUUUCACAGGCUGGGGACCGAUUUCCCAGGCAACUCCUUCCUAGCCCGGGUGCACUGUCUAUGUACUUUGCCAGCCCGCUCCCAACUCCACUCUCCGUAGAAGUCUGACGGCCGCCAGCAACCGGGGCUGCCUGCUCCGGGAUCAACGGGGUGGCGGGGCCGUGUGAACGCUCGCGCCGAAGCAUCCAGCUCUCUCUGGGUGUGGAAGGGCACCGAGGCGUGCAGAGGCCUGGGAGGGGAGUUUCAGCCAUCAUCAGUGUUUUGGGUCACUGAGCGACUGGCGGGAGCGCCUGUAGUUACACAGCCAGCAAGGCGGCGCCUCGCCCGCUGGCUCUCUCCGCGGGAGGCACCAAGAUAACCCGCAGCGAACCCUGGUUGGGAGACAGACACAGCACCAGCCUCCGCAUUCGCGGGUGGAGGGCUCGGCGGGCAGAGACGGAUGAGGACGCCGGAUUUGCAACAGAUAUCUCAAAAUCCUGUGCCAGAUUCUGCAGUGUUCUGUGCAUGGACCUCCCAUUUGAGGCACUGAGAUCAGGAUACCUGGGAAACAGGCAAAGCAAUCAUAACCUGGGAGAAGCGGAAGAACAGUCAAGCUGGGCAGGAGUCAGUGACCUUGGCAUGGUCUCCUUCGGAACUUAACUGGAUUUUCUUGUAUAUGAAGCAGCAGCUGCACGGAUCCCAGAGUAGCUGUAAGGAGGAGCCUUAGCUACUAUGAAUCCAAUCUCUGUGUGGGGAGGAGCCAGAAAAGCCUCUAAAAUGACCUAAAAUACCUUUGAAUUCCUCAGAACAUCAGGAUUUUAAAGAACCAAUGCAGCUAUGGAAAAGGGAGAUGGAGUCAUUUCUGGAUCAUGCACCAUCCACAGAAUUGUUAAAUAAGUUCUGACAGCUAAAUCUCUGUUACUGGUGGAUACGCACAAGCCAGAGGAAGCCAGCUUGAAUUCCAGCUGGAGUGCACAAAGCUAGGAAAAAAGGCAUCUUUCUUUCAUUUGGAAUAUGGCAAACUUAAUAUGGAAGUAACUGGGAAACAAUCAAACUGGAAGCCCAUAAGUCUACUUUUAUAGUAUUAGUACUGAAUAAGGACACUUCCAAAAUAUACCAAAUAUUAAUUUUCAUUAGUAUUAACAUUUACCUUUUAAUUAUAAAAGUUCCAUCUCUAAAAAAGUGCUUUAGCAUUAUGCUGCAAUAAAAUGAAUUGCUUAAUUUACGCAUUUUAUGUAACUUGAACUUUUGAUAAAAAUUUCUCAUAAUGUUAAAUAUUUAUGCAUUCUGUUUUUCAGUGGAAAUAUUAAAUAUAUACAUUAACCACGAGUCUGCAGAGUAGGAUAUGAAUCCCUUAUAUUAAAAUUAAGUGGUUUACUAUAUAAAAAGGUAAGCAAAUUAAAUAUUACAUCCUAAAGUUACCCUUCAAGAAUUUAAACAAAAAAUUACUCGUAUUGUAAAAUAUUUGAUCAAAUAAAUACAAAAAUCUUUAUAGAGGAAAUGUAACUAAAAUAUUUUCAGUGUUAUACUACACAGUCUGAUUAAUUUGUUGCUUAUGUGAAUCCUACAUUUAGCAGUACUAUUUGCUUGAUUAUAAUUAAGGAGUAUUAGCACAUUCUGGUUUUUGGUCAUUGAUAGGUCACAUAAAAUGUCUUUCUGUACUGAAAAAUGACACAGGAUCUGAUUUAAAAAAUACAUGCCUGCAAUUUCUCACAAAAGCUUAGAUAUCUCUGUUUGGUUGUGUGAUAUACUGCAUGUUGCAUCCCUCCAGUGUUCUCUCCAUGAGUAAAAUUGCCAUAUAGGACUGUCGUGGUAUAACCACAUUGAAUUUUGAAUUUGCAAAAUUAAAAAAUCAUGAAACUUUCAACGAGAAGAUAAUUUCAUAAAUCCACCCACAAAAUAAUAAUAAGAGUAAUGACAGCUACUAAUCUAAUAGAAGUAAGAUUUGACAUCCCAAAAAGCACAUGAAACAAUUUGGUUCAAAAAACGAUGCAAAAUUUUCUACAGUCUCCUGUCAUUAUAUUGUAAGAAUGAUGGAAUCUGCAUAACCCUCUCUUAAAGAAUAAUAAUAAGGGAAGGGACAUUAAAGGAUAUAUCAUAAAUGAAUUACAACAGCUAUCAUAGGAGCCAAAAGUCAAUGAGCCAGACCUUCAGCUGAUGUGAGUUGGCAUAGCUCCAUAGAAAUCAGAGUUAUCUCACUUUACACCAUUUGAGGAUUUGGACUAGUAUUUUCCAACCAUUACAAUAAUUAUCCCAGACAUCUUCUGUUCAAGCUGCAGUAAAUUCAGAUGCCACUGUGUGGUAGUUGUUGGAAAAUACUACAUUUUUAAUAACGUCUGCAGUAUAUAGACGAGUUUUUUAAAUGGAAUCUCAAGUUAGGAAGGAAGGAAGGAAGGAAAAUAAAAAUAGUCCAUUCAUAUUUAAGACUAUGAUAUAGAAGUUAUCACAUAUUGAAAUUGGAUCAAACUGAGAGUAAAACUAAAAUAUUUAAUAGGCCAUUACCUAUACUACUGAAGUCAAUGGAACCAUACCAAUUUACAUCAGCUGAGAAUCUGGCACACGUAUGUAACUAAACAUAUAUUUUAGAACUACUCAUUAGUCUACCACCGGCUAGGCACUAGUACAUACAUAUAUACAUUUUGGUUGAGUCCUCCAAUGUCUACUGUAGCAACAAAAUACUGUAGCAUCCCUUGAAUAGACAGAGAAUAAAAAAAAUACACAUGUCCCCAUAGCUGUGUGGAGAAAAGAUUCCAUAGACACAGACUCAGCCUACCUAAUGCCUUAAUUACCCGUUUCCCCACAUGUAUGUCACUUGCAUCAUCGUUCAUGUUCUCUGAUCUGUUUUAUUGUUGAGGAAGGUUUUGUGAACAUUUGGUCAUGGACCAAAAUCAGUAGCCAUUUGGAAGCAGCCAAAACUAUGUCACACUGCAAAUGUCUGGAGUUAUGGCAGAUUUCCAAAGCACAGUGAUAAAUAUAACAAGAGACAAAGAGUUGUUCUGCCUCCAGGACUUCUAAAUCAAAUGAUAAACACCACAAAGUAGAUCUAAGACAUACAAACAUUAAAAUCCCUCAUAUGUUUGUCAUUGUCAGUGCUCUCAAGCAUGUGGUGGUAUCACAGAAAACCAAUGGGGAAUUGAAUGGAAAAUCUCCAGAUAUACCUCAAUAUAAUUAAGCAAUGUAAUUAAGCAACCUCAAUACAGUCUACUUGUUGAAAUCACACAGCCAUAGAAAAGCUGCCCACUAAUAAUUAAUAGUGUCAGACUCAGAGAUCACUUAAUCCCUAAAAUGCUAGAAAUACAAGUAUCCAUCAGCUUAAUUUGCUUGCUUUUGAGAAAGUCAAUUACCUCAUCUGGUUUCCUGAAUACUUGUACUGACAUUGUAGCCAGUUAUUUUGCUAUAGAUAUAUGGGCAUAUUCUAAAUAAGAAAUAGGUAUGGAUUAAGGCAGCAACUCAAACACCUGUAAAACAAUAGGUUAGCCAAACUAAUUAAGGCCUAAGGCCUAAAGACUUGCCAUAAGAAACUAACCAGUAAGGGACACUGUAGCAGAAGAUGUCAUAAGAUAGAGUGCUGUUAUCAGCAAGUGUUGCUAAACUGCUGAUAAUUAAACUCAAGAUGCCAGUUUAUACCAGUUUUAGAUAUUUUAAGUUAGCAACAUCAGCAGAUGUCCAACCAAGAGCAAUGCCAUGGUAACUAACUGACGUAUGUGUUAAUAAGCUUGAUGUAAAAGGCCUAAAAACCUAUGGGAGAAGGGUAUCCCAACAUUAGUUGGGUGAGGAAAUACAGGUAAGGAAAAGGGACUGAAACCCCUGCUGAAUAGGCAGUAGGCAUAGCAGUAAUCAGCUAACUUCUGAUAAAACGUGGCACUCAGCCCAGGCACUCCAAGCAGAUUUCCUGGAACGUGUCAGGCCAAGGACCACUUGUGCAUCAUCUGAGCUACCAUGGGGCUCCCCACAAAGAAUGGUGUAUGUAAAUUUUGGAUGCUUGUACUAUCUCUGCCUACUUUGCUACACUGUAGUGAUAUU